rnacentral:rRNA from 1 species
CUACGUGCCAGCAGCCGCGGUAAUACGUAUGUCACGAGCGUUAUCCGGAUUUAUUGGGCGUAAAGCGCGUCUAGGUGGUUAUAUAAGUCUGAUGUGAAAAUGCAGGGCUCAACUCUGUAUUGCGUUGGAAACUGUAUAACUAGAGUACUGGAGAGGUAAGCGGAACUACAAGUGUAGAGGUGAAAUUCGUAGAUAUUUGUAGGAAUGCCGAUGGGGAAGCCAGCUUACUGGACAGAUACUGACGCUAAAGCGCGAAAGCGUGGGUAGCAAACAGGAUUAGAUACCCUGGUAGUCCACGCCGUAAACGAUGAUUACUAGGUGUUGGGGGUCGAACCUCAGCGCCCAAGCUAACGCGAUAAGUAAUCCGCCUGGGGAGUACGUACGCAAGUAUGAAACUCAAAGGAAUUGACGGGGACCCGCACAAGCGGUGGAGCAUGUGGUUUAAUUCGACGCAACGCGAGGAACCUUACCAGCGUUUGACAUC